rnacentral:rRNA from 1 species
AGACCCGAAACCCGGUGAUCUAGCCAUGGGCAGGUUGAAGGUUGGGUAACACUAACUGGAGGACCGAACCGACUAAUGUUGAAAAAUUAGCGGAUGACCUGUGGCUGGGGGUGAAAGGCCAAUCAAACCGGGAGAUAGCUGGUUCUCCCCGAAAGCUAUUUAGGUAGCGCCUCGUGAAUUCAUCUCCGGGGGUAGAGCACUGUUUCGGCUAGGGGGCCAUCCCGGCUUACCAACCCGAUGCAAACUGCGAAUACCGGAGAAUGUUAUCACGGGAGACACACGGCGGGUGCUAACGUCCGUCGUGAAGAGGGAAACAACCCAGACCGCCAGCUAAGGUCCCAAAGUCAUGGUUAAGUGGGAAACGAUGUGGGAAGGCCCAGACAGCCAGGAUGUUGGCUUAGAAGCAGCCAUCAUUUAAAGAAAGCGUAAUAGCUCACUGGUCGAGUCGGCCUGCGCGGAAGAUGUAACGGGGCUAAACCAUGCACCGAAGCUGCGGCAGCGACACUGUGUGUUGUUGGGUAGGGGAGCGUUCUGUAAGCCUGUGAAGGUGUGUCGUGAGGCAUGCUGGAGGUAUCAGAAGUGCGAAUGCUGACAUAAGUAACGAUAAAGCGGGUGAAAAGCCCG